rfam:Rhodocyclales bacterium RIFCSPLOWO2_02_FTLL_63_24 rifcsplowo2_02_scaffold_1686, whole genome shotgun sequence.
AUCUGACACGCCCCCACGGUAUCCAGUCUGGGUCCGACAUUUGGGCGUGGUGCAAUGAC